UUGAGGCUCCCCGAAGUAGCGUUUUGAUGACCACCACCACCACCACUUGGGGGACGCGCAGGAGGAACUGCAUUCUGCGGAGGAGGAUGAAAACCCGACGACUGGGAUGGAGAAUUUCCUGCAUUUUGUUGAAAAUACAUUUGACGACUGAACUCAAACUUGGGAUGAAUGCAUGCAGUCCGAACUCCGAAUUCAGAUCAGGGUCCUCGCUAAUCUAAUCCACUCCAAUCCACACCACCAGAAAGAACAGAACUCUGCCAACUCCCAUUCACAAGUACGUAUCCGUAUCUUUGUCGACCAUGAAAAUUCGGGGUUUUUGGCACCUUUUUUUAUUUUCGUUUCACAAACGAUGUAUGUAUGAGUGUGUCCAUUCGUGCCAAUUUUAUGACGCCGUCCUCCUCGUCCACACACAAGAGAAAUAUGUAACUGCUGCUUCUGCUACUAAAUCACCAAAUGUCAAUUAUAACUAAACUAAACACUAUUUAACUACAGAACAUGAAGAAUGAUGACCUCGUUGCAACAAACGGAGUGAGCAAAGUGAAAUGAAAAUCAGUCAUGAAAUGAAAUUUAUGUAUUUACGAUGGGAAAGAAGCAGCGUGUGAGCAUCUUCAUCUUCUUCUUGUCAUGUUCAGUGAUUCGGAAAUGCAGAAUGAAUUAAAAGUUAAAAUGCAUCAAAAGUGAUCAUGUUUUGCGAUAUGGGAAAUGCAUGAAAAAAUCGACGUGGGCUAAAAUAGUGUAGCAAAAUUGGAGUUAAUUAACUAUGGGAAAUUUCCCUAUUAACCCAAAAAAACUCAAUACAUAGUAAAUAAAUACUUGAAAGUAGUGGGAUCGAAAGUAAAUAUAGAUCGACAGUCACUUAUUGAACGAAUCAACCCAAAUGAUAAUGAUUUAACGGAGGACUCGAUGACUCGUCGCUAAAAUCAUUAAAAUCAGGACAUUACUUUUUAACAAUUCUUAGGGUUGUAAAAAAUAUAAGAAUAUUAUUGUUACGAUAAUAAUGUCGGAUUUUGAGAUGAGUGCAAUAUUUAUUGUCGUCGCAACCUAUCAAGGGCGGAAAAUUACGCAAAAUUAGAAAGAGGUCGGGUUGUGAGCUCAUAGGAGAUGACGAAGAGGGAGAAAUAAUUGUAAAAAAUUAUUCAUUUCUAUCCGAGGAUUCAUAAUAAUGAUAAUAGUAAUAAUAUUAUACUGCUAAAAUACAUACAUGAUAAUGUCUCGGGAAUGAUUGAUAUAUCCGACAAGAAACUUGAGCCACUGAGUAAAUAAAUAUUCUUCAUAUUCAAAAUAA